rnacentral:rRNA from 1 species
GACAGAGGGUGCAAACGUUGUUCGGAAUUACUGGGCGUAAAGCGAGUGUAGGCGGUUUGCUAAGUCGGGUGUGAAAGCCCUGGGCUCAACCCAGGAAGUGCACUCGAAACUGGCAGGCUAGAGUACUGGAGAGGUUGGUGGAAUUCUCGGUGUAGAGGUGAAAUUCGUAGAUAUUGGGAAGAACACCGGUGGCGAAGGCGGCCAUCUGGACCGCAACUGACGCUGAGGCGCGAAAGCGUGGGGAGCAAACAGG